AAUUGGGAGGGGUCAACAUAUAUCUUCUCCAAUCUUCAAGCACCAUCUUAAGAUCAUGAACUUUAGUUUCCAAACCAAAACAACAAUUUGCAUGCAUUGUGCAAACCAAGUUGAAAUCUUUGCUCGGUUCACAAAACCCACCAAAAUAAGCUGUAUCCAGAAACCUCAUUUGCAUUCCAAGUUUGUCAAUUAAUGGAUCAUAUUUGAUCUCGUUCAACACAUCUUGAUCAUGAAGUCCUGGAAACUUUUGUCUUGAUGAGUACCAAAACUUGUAAAAUUCAAUCGUUCCUCCAUUAGAUUUCACAUAGUUGAAUCCACCAUUUGGACGAUUAUUUCUAUCAGAUGGGUUUCCAUAAUAAUUGUCACAAGCUAUCUGGAAAUCUGCAUCUUCAUAGAAGUGUGGAAAUGGAUCUCGAAGCCACAUUAUAUCUGCAUCCGUGAAAACAAAGUUGUAACCCAUCUGCAGAACAGUACCUAAGAAAUGAAUUCUUCUCCACAUCAUCUCCAGGUAAUUUGGGGUCAUGAAGUAAGCCUCACUUGAAAAAUUGAGUCCUUUAGUUUCAAGUGCAAAACAGUGUGGAUGAAUUGCUAAGCAACGAGUAUGUGCCUUCUGAUCAAGUGAUACUAUUAUCAAAUGCUUCAGAAGCUUCUCUGUGCUGUUUCCAAUUUUAAAACUCUCCAAGAAUAGAUCAAUUAUAGAUCCUGGCUCUGCCCAUGCUUCAUUUAGAGUUGUUAUUAUCACUGUUUUAUUUGCCAUUGAUGCUGCUUUUACAACUCUCUCCAAUUCUGAACCAUAAUUCCCCUGGGG
rnacentral:misc_RNA from 1 species